CAACAUUACAUGGAUUUAAGUAACUUUAGUACUUUCGAAAAGAUUAUACUUUAGGAUAUUUGUUUAAUAUAUGUUUUACUUGUAUAUUCAGCUUACAUAGCCUAAUAUAAUUUCAAUGUAUGCAAUAAGGUGUCUGUUUAUUUACAUUUUUUAUUUAACCUUUAUUUAACUAGGACAGUCAGUUAUUAAGAAAAUAUUCUUAUUUACAAUGACAGCAUAUCACGGCCAAACCCUAACACGUACGAUGCUGGGCCAAUUGGGCGCCGUCCUAUGGGACUCCCAAUCACGGCCGGUUGUGAUACAGCCCGGAAUCAAACCAGGGUCUGUAGUGACGCCUCUAGCACUGAGAUGCAGUGCCUUAGACCGCUGUGCCACUCGGGAGUCUCUAUUAGAAUAAAUAUGUCAAUUUUUAAAGGUAAUUUCUACACAGAGCCUGUUGGAUAAUGGUUAUUUAUGGCUUCAGGGGCUGUGGGAUAAUGGUUAUUUAUGGCUUCAGAGGCUGUGGGAUAAUGGUUAUUUAUGGCUUCAGAGGCUGUGGGAUAAUGGUUAUUUAUGGCUUCAGAGGCUGUGGGAUAAUGGUUAUUUAUGGCUUCAGAGGCUGUGGGAUAAUGGUUAUUUAUGGCUUCAGAGGCUGUGGGAUAAUGGUUAUUUAUGGCUUCAGAGGCUGUGGGAUAAUGGUUAUUUAUGGCUUCAUAGGCUGUGGGAUAAUGGUUAUUUAUGGCUUCAUAGGUUGUGGGAUAAUGGUUAUUUAUGGCUUUCGAGUCUGGUACAACCUACACCUGACCAGUGGAGAUGGUCAGGUAGCCUAGUCGUAGUCUAUAUAGUUCAUGGUCUACCUAUAGGGAGGUGGGUGGGAAGAAGAAGAGUCUCUCUCUCUCUCUCUCUCUCUCUCUCAAACAAACAAAUCAAAAUAUAUUUUAUAUUUGAGAUUCUUUAAAAAGUAGCUACCCUUUACCUCGUCUUCAAUAUUAUUAUACAAUGGGGAAAAUAGUAAAACAAAUAAAAAUAAAGAAAUUAACUUGAAUGAGGCUGCCCAUCGUUACGCACCCAUGUCACUUUCGGUACGCGCAUCAGCGCAUCAUUGGACUCACCUGGACUCCUUCACAUUUUGAUUGCCUUCCAUAUAUCUGUCUGUUCCUGUGUUUCAUCCCUGUGUCAGCAUUGAUGUCGUUAUGUUUUACCCUGUCCAGACGCUGUCCUUGUUUGUUUCUUGUCUAUUAUCCAUUAAAUGUUCACUCCCUGUACUUGCUUCUCGUCUCCCAGCGUCUGUCCUUACACCAUGAGACAAUAUGAAGACAAAGUGGCAGAAUAAAUUCAACCAAACCGGAGAGCAACCUCUGUCCGUGAAGUCCAGAAAACAUAUUGAAUGUAACAUACUCAUUUUGACCAGACAGCAUCAGAUAGAUGUCCUACACAUACAGAGAGAGGGGCGCUGUUUCGCUCGAUCGGAUGCGUUCUUUGGUGAGAUACAUCACAGAAAUUAUUUUUUGGGGAAGCAUGAAUACACGCCACUGGUCAACUCUACCUCCAAGCCACUGGUCAACUCUACCUCCAAACCACUGGUCAACUCUACCUCCAAGCCACUGGUCAACUCUACCUCCAAACCACUGGUCAACUCUACCUCCAAGCCACUGGUCAACUCUACCUCCAAG
rnacentral:lncRNA from 1 species